UACGUAGGGUGCGAGCGUUAAUCGGAAUUACUGGGCGUAAAGCGUGCGCAGGCGGUUAUUUAAGUCCGAUGUGAAAUCCCCGGGCUCAACCUGGGAAUUGCAUUUGAGACUGCACGGCUAGAGUGUGUCAGAGGGGGGUAGAAUUCCACGUGUAGCAGUGAAAUGCGUAGAUAUGUGGAGGAAUACCGAUGGCGAAGGCAGCCCCCUGGGAUAACACUGACGCUCAUGCACGAAAGCGUGGGGAGCAAACAGG
rnacentral:rRNA from 1 species